rnacentral:lncRNA from 1 species
AAGUGACUCCGGGCACGUCCCCGAGGCUGCGAAUAGCCCCGCUAUGUCUCUGGGGACAAGAAGGCCUCGCGUUUUUUUCUGUCAGCGUCGCCCGGCUUCGAGCGCUCCUGAGGCGCGGUCUGAGCUGCCUCGGGCCGCCACCUGACUCUCCCGGCGAGGGCCUCGGGACCCAACACUUCCUCAGAGGAGGAAACCCAGGUGAAGAAACUGAGGCCCAGAAGGGUGUUAGCAGCAAUCAUGGUAAGAAAAAAAAUUAGUUAUAUCUUUAAUAUGUACUUUAAGUAUGUAUUUAAUAAAACAGGCAAAAAUUAAUUCCAGACUAGAUAUAUUAAUAACAUUAAUUAUUAAUUACUAUAUUAAGCAUACUAAUUAUAGUUAUCAUUAAAUAUUGAAGAACUUAAAGCUAUUAAAAAUAAGCAGUUUUGAAUAAACAGAUAUUUGGCCAGAGGGUUUUUUCCUUCCUGUUUACUUUCAUGAACCCUAUAGGAAGGGUAACAGCUUAGAUCUCUCCUGCCCAAUGGAUAAAGAGAAACUGGUUGAUCUAUUUUAUGCCUUCCAUUUCACAAAUUCCUGACAUGAUUUGCCAGAUGAGACAGAGAAAAAAAUCAAGAGAGCAAGCUUUAUAAUUGCCCUGCCCACGCUGCUCAGAUGGCAUGUUAACUCCGUAGUCAACUGUUUGAUUCAAGAACCUUGGAAAUUGAGGGCAUUCUGGCUUCAUGGAUGAACCAUAAAGACUUUACUUGCAGUUCAUUAUCUUACAUAAAAUAUACUCUUUCCUCUUGGGGCCACAGUGGCUCAUGCCUAUAGUCGCAGCACUUUGGGAGGCCAAGGCAGGAGGAUCACUUGACCUCAGGAGUUCUAGACCAGUUUGGGCAACAUGGAGAAACCCUGUCUCUACAAAAAGUAUGAAAAAUUAGCUGGAUGUGGUGGUACAUGCCUGUAGUCCCAGCUACCCAGGAGGCUUAGGUGGGAGAAUCACCUGAACCUGAGCCUAGUGAUCAAGGCUGCAGCGAACUGUGAUUGUGCCACUUCACUGUCCAGCCUGGGCAACAGAGACCCUGUCUUGAAAAAAAAAAAAAGAAAAAAAAAGUACUCUUUCUAUGAGAGAAAUCUAGACUUCAGAAAAUUGUGACAACUUAUAUUUUUAUGUUAACAUUUAUUGAAGACUGUUUCGGCACUAGAUGCUGAGCUAAAGGUUUUUUAUGUAUGAUCUUGUUUUUCCUCACAGCAACCUUAUGAUAUGCGUUUUUUUAUUCCCAUUUACACAUGGAGAAACUGAGACUUAGGGAAGUUCUGUAAGUGUCUCACCAUGAGUCUCACCAUGAGUCUCACAGUGAGUGAUUAGCAAAGUUGGAAUUUGCAGCCUAUGCAUUUCAUUCAGUUAUCACAUGUUGAAA